rnacentral:rRNA from 1 species
UACGGAGGAUGCAAGCGUUAUCCGGAUUUAUUGGGUUUAAAGGGUGCGUAGGCGGAAGAAUAAGUCAGUGGUGAAAUCUUGCAGCUUAACUGUAAAACUGCCAUUGAUACUGUUUUUCUUGAGUAUAGUUGAGGUAGGCGGAAUGUGUAAUGUAGCGGUGAAAUGCUUAGAUAUUACACAGAACACCGAUUGCGUAGGCAGCUUACUAAGCUAUAACUGACGCUGAGGCACGAAAGCGUGGGUAGCGAACAGG